GAUGAACGCUGGCGGCGUGCCUAAUACAUGCAAGUCGAGCGAACAGAUGAGGAGCUUGCUCCUCUGACGUUAGCGGCGGACGGGUGAGUAACACGUGGAUAACCUACCUAUAAGACUGGGAUAACUUCGGGAAACCGGAGCUAAUACCGGAUAAUAUAUUGAACCGCAUGGUUCAAUAGUGAAAGACGGUUUUGCUGUCACUUUUAGAUGGAUCCGCGCCGCAUUAGCUAGUUGGUAAGGUAACGGCUUACCAAGGCAACGAUGCGUAGCCGACCUGAGAGGGUGAUCGGCCACACUGGAACUGAGACACGGUCCAGACUCCUAAGGGAGGCAGCAGUAGGGAAUCUUCCGCAAUGGGCGAAAGCUUGACGGAGCAAAGCCGCGUGAGUGAUGAAGGUCUUCGGAUCGUAAAACUCUGUUAUUAGGGAAGAACAAAUGUGUAAGUAACUAUGCACGUCUUGACGGUACCUAAUCAGAAAGCCACGGCUAACUACGUG
rnacentral:rRNA from 1 species